rnacentral:rRNA from 1 species
CCGGCACGGGUGAGUAACGCGUAUGCAACUUGCCUAUCAGAGGGGGAUAACCCGGCGAAAGUCGGACUAAUACCGCAUGAAGCAGGGAUCCCGCAUGGGAAUAUUUGCUAAAGAUUCAUCGCUGAUAGAUAGGCAUGCGUUCCAUUAGGCAGUUGGCGGGGUAACGGCCCACCAAACCGACGAUGGAUAGGGGUUCUGAGAGGAAGGUCCCCCACAUUGGUACUGAGACACGGCCAA